UACGUAGGGAGCAAGCGUUUGUCCGGAAUCAUUGGGCGUAAAGAGCGUGUAGGCGGUCCUGUAAGUCCGCUGUGAAAGUCAAGGGCUCAACCCUUGAAUGCCGGUGGAUACUGCAGGACUAGAGUCCGGAAGAGGCGAGUGGAAUUCCUGGUGUAGCGGUGAAAUGCGCAGAUAUCAGGAGGAACACCGAUGGCGAAGGCAGCUCGCUGGGACGGUACUGACGCUGAGACGCGAAAGCGUGGGGAGCAAACAGG
rnacentral:rRNA from 1 species